UACGUAGGGGGCAAGCGUUGUCCGGAAUCAUUGGGCGUAAAGAGCGCGUAGGCGGCCCAGUAAGUCCGCUCUGAAAGUCAGGGGCUCAACCCCUGAAUGCGGGUGGAUACUGCUGGGCUAGAGUCCGGAAGAGGCGAGUGGAAUUCCUGGUGUAGCGGUGAAAUGCGCAGAUAUCAGGAGGAACACCGAUGGCGAAGGCGGCUUCCUGGACCGACACUGACGCUGAGGCGCGAAAGCUAGGGGAGCAAACGGG
rnacentral:rRNA from 1 species